UUAGUUUUCUUACAUUUUGGAUGUCAUAAAACAAACCGGUGAUGAAACAAUGAAAUUAUUUUAUAGGUCGGCCUCGAUUGAAACUCAGUUACGUAUUUUUUCAGGUUGUCCAAUGAUGUCAAUUCAUAAGUCUGAGCUAUGUUUGAAAUGCCAUGAAAUAAAAUGUGUUGAACAUCUUCCACAAGAUGACGAUGGACGGGUACUUGGCUUGGACGCCAUCUUUGAUUGUUUCCCGUAACUUGGAAACCGGAAGUUAACCAGGAGGCAAAAACUUAUGUGAUUGAUAUCCUGACUCGAACAUCACUGAAUAUAUGACAACAUCAUCCUGAAGUUCGCGGACGACACCGCAGUGAUAGGACGCAUCACUGACAAUGACGAAACGGCCUACAGGAGGAAGGUGGCCAGUCUGGUAUCAUGGUGUGAGGACAACAACCUCACCCUCAACAUGGAAAAGAUGAAGGAGAUGAUAGUGGACAUGAAGGAGAGGAGACCUCAUCGGCCACUGUUCAUCUGGGAGCUUGAGGUGAAGAGGGUGAGCAGCUUCAAAUGCCUGGGUGUUCACAUCAGUGAGGACCUCACAUGGACACUUAACACCACACAGCUGGUUAGGAAGGCUCAACAGUGACUGUACUUUCUGAGGAGGCUGAGGAAGUUUGGUAUGUCGCCCAAGAUCCUCAGCAACUUCUACAACUGCAUGACUGAGAGCAUCCUGACCAACUGCAUCACUGUGUGGUAUGGCAGCACUACACCUAUGGACCGCAAACACCUGCAGAGGGUGGUGAAGACUGCUGAGAGGAUCACCAAAACUCCACUGCCCUCUCUGCAGAGCAUCUACCACCGCAGAGUCCACAGGAGAGCUGCCUCCAUCCUCAAAGACCCCACCCACCUCCAGCACAGACUGUUCGCACUUCUACCCUCAGGCCGGAGGUACAGAAGUGUGAAAUGUAAGACUGUCAGACUAAAGAACUCUUUCUUUUCCACCGCCAUCAGACUCCUGAACAGCUGACAUGGGUCUAUAACCAUGGAUUACCUCCCUGUAAACUGUCCCUAACUGUUUACAUCUGUUUACAUUUGUUUGCACAUUACUGCCCCUCUUGCUGCUGUUCCUUGACUGUUUACAUCUGUUUACAUUUGUUUGCACAUUCGCACAUUACUGCCCCUCUGCUGCUACAUCUGAUCAUUGCCUUACUUUUGUAUUACACUACCUAUU